UGGGGAAUUUUGCACAAUGGGGGAAACCCUGAUGCAGCGACGCCGCGUGAUUUAGAAGGCCUUCGGGUUGUAAAAAUCUUUUCUAUGGGAAGAAAAUGACAGUACCAUAGGAAUAAGGACCGGCUAAUUACGUGCCAGCAGCCGCGGUAAUACGUAAGGUCCGAGCGGUGUUCGGAAUCAUUGGGCGUAAAGGGUACGUAGGCGGGUAAGCAAGUUAGAAGUGAAAUCCUAUAGCUCAACUAUAGUAAGCUUUUAAAACUGCUCUUCUUGAGGUAUGGAAGGGAAAGUGGAGUUCCUAGUGUGGCGGUGAAAUGCGCAUAUAUUAGGAGGAAUACCGGUGGCGAGGGCGACUUUCUGGCCAUAACCUGACGCUGAGGUACGAAAGCGUGGGUAGCAAACAGA
rnacentral:rRNA from 1 species